GCGCUGCUAGCUCAGCUGGAUAGAGUGACUGGCUACGAACCAGUAGGUCGGGGGUUCAAGUCCCUCGCAGCGCGCCA
rnacentral:tRNA from 1 species